rnacentral:rRNA from 1 species
UACGUAGGGGGCAAGCGUUGUCCGGAUUCAUUGGGCGUAAAGAGCGUGUAGGCGGCCAGAUAGGUCAGCUGUGAAAACUCGGGGCUCAACCCCGAGACGUCGGUUGAAACCAUCUGGCUAGAGUCCGGAAGAGGAGUGUGGAAUUCCCGGUGUAGCGGUGAAAUGCGCAGAUAUCGGGAAGAACACCCGUGGCGAAGGCGGCUCUCUGGGACGGUACUGACGCUGAGACGCGAAAGCGUGGGGAGCGAACAGG